rnacentral:tRNA from 1 species
GCACACUUAGCUCAGAGGGUAGAGCAUCACAUUUGUAAUGCGAGGGUCAUCUGUUCAAAUCCGAUAGUUGGCC